rnacentral:lncRNA from 1 species
GAAAAGUCAUCACAUUCCCCCAACAUCCCGAUAAUUAAAAGAGUAAGCACAUUUUUAUAGAAUUAGUCUACAGCAAGGAUGACAAAUGUCAUAUUGCCCUUUCCACACUGUUACGGGAGACCUUCAAGAAAAUCCACUAAAUAGAGGCUGAGAAACCCAGACUCUGCCACGUAGCAAUCUUUCCUUUUCCUAGGAAACCCAUGAGAUUAGCAGGUGAUGCCUAUUGUCAAUAUUUUUAAGCAAGGUAAGUGAAGUCUCUUAUAGUACGGCAGGCAUUCCUAACUUUUACAAGUCUUAGAACAGGCCUAUGGUAAAUGAUACACGACUUUCCCACAGAGCUGGGAUGCAGCCUCACAUUUCUUUCUAACCCAGUGCUCCAAGUAGCCGCCAUCACUGGACUGGAGUUGUCAUAAGAUAGGAAGCUUUUUGACAUUCUUAGUUGUCUAGAAUAGAACAUCAUGAUCAACACAAACGCAGUGCAGCCCAU